AACGCCGCGUGCAGGAUGACGGCCUUUCGGUGUUGUAAACUCCUUUUAACAGGGAAGAAAUGACGGUACCUCUUGAAUAAGCACCGGCCAACUCCAUGCCAGCAGCCCCGGUUAUACGGCGGGUGCAAGCGUUACUCGGAAUCACUGGGCGUAAAGGGUGCUUAAGCUGGCUUCUAAGUCAGAUGUGAAAUCCAAUGGCUUAACCAUUGAACUGCACUUGAAACUGGGAGCCUGGAGUUCAUAAGGGGCAGAUGGAAUUAGUGGUGUAGGGGUGAAAUCCGUAUAUUUCACUAGGAAUAUCAAGCGCUAAGGCGAUCUGCUGGGAUGAUACUGACGCUCAUGCACUAAAACGUGGGGAGCAAACAGGAUUAGAAGCCGGGGGAAAUUCAAAA
rnacentral:rRNA from 1 species